UACAGAGGGUGCAAGCGUUAAUCGGAAUUCCUGGGCGUAAAGCGUGCGUAGACGGUUAUGUAAGUCAGGUGUGAAAGCCCCGGGCUCAACCUGGGAAUGGCAUUUGAGACUGCAUAGCUAGGGUGCGGAAGAGGGAAGCGGAAUUUCCGGUGUAGCGGUGAAAUGCGUAGAUAUCGGAAGGAACAUCAGUGGCGAAGGCGAGUCCCUGGACGAUACCUGACACUGAGGCACGAAAGCUAGGGGAGCAAACAGG
rnacentral:rRNA from 1 species